CACUGAAAGUACCCGGAUGGUGCACUGCAAACGGGCCAAAAAUGUCGUGUAAAACGAUGGACACUACUCGCACUAAGCGGCCGCCAUCUUGGCGACGUGGCGGAAGAGGAGGAGCCCUUUCGCCAGCUUUUCAUUUUAUUUCUAAAACAAUGGCGGACAGCACAAGCGGUAGACCACGAAGCUACAGACCGUAAUAGACGUUUCCUGGAGGUGCUGGUGCUGGUCCUCUGCUGCCCUCCCGACAUCUGCAUCUGGCUCCAAUGACCUCUGGCACAAACCUCACAUCCACCUCCAGGGCCUUUAAGAAGAUGGACCGCCAUCGCGUCUUAAGUAUCCCGAAGGACCUCUCCACAACACACCUCGCCUUUGACAGGCAGCAGUUGUAGCUUGGAGGUGGUUGCGGACAGGCAGGGGGAGCCACCAUCCCCAAGGAUACAGUAUCCUGGUGGAGGGUAUGCCUGCUCAUAGAAGAUGGGGCUGUUAUUCAGGACCCUGGCAUCAUGCACUGAGCCCGGGGCCUGUCGAAGGCCCUGGCCACCACCCGAUAGGAGGUGGCGCUGGCAAGCCAACAAAUAAAAACUAGACAGGAGAUCUCGGGGCCCCAACCGUGGUCACAGUCAGUGCCCAGCACAGCCAUGAGGGCGUUGAAUGACUCCCGGUGAGCCUGAAGUCCACACUCAUGUCACUGUGGCCAUCACAAUACAACGCCAGCAGUGGCAUUGCAACAUUGAUACGGCAGCGCCGCCUGGGACUGGGUGGCUGCUGUAGAGUGUGGGAGGGGAAGGGAAGAUUAUAUUAAUAUGUAAGUCAUUUUAUCAAUAAAAUGUUGUCAUUGA